GACGAACGCUGGCGGCGUGCUUAACACAUGCAAGUCGAACGGAAAGGCCCUGCUUUUGUGGGGUGCUCGAGUGGCGAACGGGUGAGUAACACGUGAGUAACCUGCCCUUGACUUUGGGAUAACUUCAGGAAACUGGGGAUAAUACCGGAUAGGAGCUCCUGCUGCAUGGUGGGGGUUGGAAAGUUUCGGCGGUUGGGGAUGGACUCGCGGCUUAUCAGCUUGUUGGUGGGGUAGUGGCUUACCAAGGCUUUGACGGGUAGCCGGCCUGGGAGGGUGACCGGCCACAAUGGGACUGAGAGACGGCCCAGACUCCUACGGGAGGCAGCGGGGGGGAAUAUGACACAGUGGGCGGGAGCCUGAUGCGGCAACGCCGGGUUCGGGAUGACGUCCUUCGGGGUAUAAACCGCUGUCGCCUGUGACGAAGCGUGAGUGACGGUAAUGAGUAAAGAAGCACCGGCUAACUACGUG
rnacentral:rRNA from 1 species